GCCAGAGUGGUGUAGUGGUUUGAGUGUUGGACUGGGACUCUGGAGACCUGGGUUCAAAUCCCAGCUCAGCCA